UACAGAGGGUGCGAGCGUUAUUCGGAAUUACUGGGCGUAAAGCGUGCGUAGGCGGUUGUGCAAGACAGAUGUGAAAUCCCCGGGCUCAACCUGGGAACUGCAUUUGUGACUGCACAGCUUGAGUGCGGCAGAGGGGGAUGGAAUUCCGCGUGUAGCAGUGAAAUGCGUAGAUAUGCGGAGGAACACCGAUGGCGAAGGCAAUCCCCUGGGCCUGCACUGACGCUCAUGCACGAAAGCGUGGGGAGCAAACAGG
rnacentral:rRNA from 1 species